rnacentral:rRNA from 1 species
UAAGGAAUAUUGGACAAUGGUCGCAAGACUGAUCCAGCCAUGCCGCGUGCAGGAUGAAUGCCCUAUGGGUUGUAAACUGCUUUUGUACGGGAAUAAACCCGGGUACGUGUACCCGGCUGAAUGUACCGUAAGAAUAAGGGUCGGCUAACUUCGUGCCAGCAGCCGCGGUAAGACGAAGGACCCGAGCGUUAUCCGGAUUCAUUGGGUUUAAAGGGUGCGUAGGCGGAUUGAUAAGUCAGUGGUGAAAUCUCCGGGCUUAACCCGGAAACUGCCAUUGAUACUGUCAAUCUUGAAUAUGGUUGAUGUGGGCGGAAUAUGACAUGUAGCGGUGAAAUGCUUAGAUAUGUCAUAGAACACCGAUUGCGAAGGCAGCUCACAAAGCCAUUAUUGACGCUGAGGCACGAAAGUGCGGGGAUCAAACAGGAUUAGAUACCCCUGUAGUCC